rnacentral:rRNA from 1 species
CGCCUCUUGCAUUCCAAAGUAUAAGAGGUCCCACCUGCCCUGUGACUCUAAGUUUAACGGCCGCGGUAUUCUAACCGUGCGAAGGUAGCGCAAUCAAUUGCCUUUUAAAUGAAGGCCUGUAUGAAUGGUAUAACGAGGGUCUAGCUGUCUCUUUUUUCUAGUCAGUUAAACUGAUCUGUCCGUGCAGAAGCGGACAUUAAUAUACAAGACGAGAAGACCCUAUGGAGCUUUAGACACUAGCCAACUGUGAAUAAGCGACUGAACUGAGCAAGUCCUAAGUACCCGCAGCCUUAUGGUAAUGUAGUCUUAGGUUGGGGCGACCACGGGAGAAAGUAAAGCUCCCAAGCAGACCGGGAAAACCCUUAAGCCGAGAGUUGCAACUCUAAGCCGCAAAAUUUUUGACUGAAAUGAUCCGGUUGAAAAACCGAUUAACGAACCAAGUUA